UGCAGCUGUGUCUGCUUCACUGUAUUCUAUCAUGGCAAGCACUGGCCCAGAGGCUGCCAUAGAAACUGUCGUCUGUGGGCCUGUCUCCCUGGCUUGGUCAGAGUCUACUCACGGACAGUA